UUUGAUUUUGAUUGAGAUGUAACUCUAAUUUCCUUGCAAGAGUUGGAAAAGAUAAAAUUUCUCAAAUUUUUUUUUUAUUUGAAAUACUGAAUCUUUUUCAGAUAUUAGAGUAGUAGUUUUUUUUUUUAGGAAACUAAAGACUUGAAGAAUAUUUGGACGCACUUUGGAUAGUGACUUGAUAUUUGUGCUUAUGGGUCCUAAAAGUAUUUGAAGAAGAGUGAGUUAGAAUAUCUCCGGAUAAAACAACAUAUUUACAUAAGGAGUUAUAACACAAAGACAAAUAUUGCGCGUUCUAAACAGAUAUGUGACCCUUUUCUGCCAAGGGUGGGCCUAGCUAUUUGAGGGAUGUAUACGUCCCUCAAAUUUAAACACACAAGUAUGAACGUCCAUUCAGGCCGUGGACCGUUUUGGACUCAAGGUGGUCUUCUAAUGGGCCCAACGCGCCUUGGGUGUUGGGUCGUCCUAGGCCAACGCGCUAUUUUUUUUGGGAUUUGGGUUUCGCUCUAUCCUAGUUUGACUAAGAGUGGCUUUUGAAAUGACCGGGAACCCAAAUGGACAAUUUGGGCUAAAACUCGCGACAACCAUUGGACGCCUAACAAACCAAUAAAUUGCCACUAAUUUCAAAACAGGGUGAGUAUAAAAAAGUCCGGCUGCGGUUCCGCAAACCGUCCUUUUAUAUACUAUACAUAUAUAUUGGAAAUAUGUUAUGAAUGCAAUGACAAUUUAUGAAAAAUUUAAACCUAUUCAGUACAAAUAAUAUUUUAACAAUUAAAAGAAGUUAGUCAAACAGUCAAAUCUUAUGGUUAGAACUUAAUUAAUCCCCAGCGGAGUCGCCAUUUCUGUUUUAUUUUAAAAAAAUACUACUAACUAUUUUUGAUUUAAAAAUGGAAAAAUUGACUAGGUUUCGAAAAAUCAAUUAAUCUUAUUGUUUAAGAAAAAUCGACUUUUCAAAAUUAUGGAGUCGCCACUUGAUUUUUGAUAAAAUCAAGAAAAAAUUUAAAAUUGUCAAAAGAUUCAAAACAGAUAAAAUCAAUUAAAAAAGGUUCGAAGUUCAAUGUACAUCCCGAGAAGGUGUUAGGCCCUCGGGAUGCCCGCUAACUCGCGGUUGACCGGCGAUUUGACUAAAUGACUAUUAAAAUAAAAAUUUUAACUAAGUAAAAAGAAAUUUGUUUUAAUAUUUUUUAUUUCAUUAUUAUUAAUUUUAUUUAUUUCUAAAGGUUGAGGGAAUUAAUUUAAGGAAAACUAAAUUGUGAUAAAAGUAAGUAAAACAACAAUAGUAAAAUUUAAAUAAUGAAAAUGGCUACCCCUUAGAAGAUUAUUAAAAUUCUACCAAGAUAUUAAAUAAUUCAAACAAAUAAAUAAUAGAGAAAGAAAUAUUUGAACUUGGGCUUGAUUGCCCAAAUUCUUUCAUUUGGGCUUUGGCCCACCUGUCAUAAACUAAUCCUUAUACUUGGGCCUUCUUUAAAACCUGCAGAAACAAAUGACCUUUGGGCCUGUUAAAUAAAAGGGGGGCUGAAGGGCCCUGGCCCAAUUCCCUGAAAAGAGACAUAAAGUAUACAAAUGUAUACAUGUUGUAUACAACAUAUAUCUGACCCAUUUGGACCUCUUGAGCCCUGCACCUUUUGAAUAUAUAUUUACCGUUACUUUUCCCUGAAUUCCCCUGCGUAUUUAUACCUGUAUCAUUUAUUAAAAACUUACUUAACAAGUGUAUAUCGUCUCCCGAUAAUGUAUACUAAUGUAUACGGGAUGCACCCUAUGUCCGCAUUGUUUGCCUAAUUCCGAAUUUUAAUUAGAAUACACGUCCCUCUACGUUCCCCUACCAAUCAUAUUUUUUAAGCAUAUAUAUAGUAUAUCGUCUAAGUAUAUCUGUGUAUACAGGUUGUAUAUCAACCUGUUUUUCAACUUUCGACAGCUGAAAAAUUAUUUCCAGAAGUAUGUCCUCACUGUUAUCAACCUGUAUUUCUAAUUUGGUCCCCUGUACGUUUUUUUGACCUUUAUACUGAUGUAUAAAGUAUGUAUACAGCUGCUAUACAGCUACAUCAACACCUGCCAAUACAUUUUACAGCCCCUUUCCAGGUUUUGAUGAACCUGCAGUUAAUUUCCAGCAACUCGUUUGAUAUAUUUUAGCCUGUACGCCAGUUUUGAGGGGGUCUACAACUCAAGGAUGACAGUUCAAGCCUUUACGGCCCAAUGAGAAAGUGCAACGAGAUGGGUUAAAGUCUAUGAGGACUCGAGGAGAUUUCACAUGCAAUAAAACCAAAAAAAAGAAUUAGCACCUUAAGCGAUAAGCUAAUAGAAUGCGUCUUAAACAAAACGGUAAUAGAAGAUGUGAGCUAUUUUAGAGAUAAUGAGUUAGGAAAGGGGUACAAAAUGUAAACACAUAUCUCAUAUGAAGGCAACACAGGGGACUCCUCAUGCAUGCAGCACUAUUCAAAUAUUCAAAAGAAUAAAAUGAAAGUCAUCAUAUGUCAAGGUUCAUUAGUGAUAAACUUGAGGCUAUGUGAAUCAUUUCAAACCCAAUGACAACAACACGACAGUGAGCAAUAAAUAUAUUGUAGACCAAACACAGAGGAGAAUUGAUCCCUUUCUAUCAUUCAAGGCAUUUAAUGCACAUAAAGGGCAUAUAUGCAGAAGCCAUUGAUAACCAAAAUCACGUCAAAGAAAAGGCCUACCCGUAAGACAAAGUCUAAAAUCCUCCUCCAAAAUGGUCAUAAUUCGAACACAUAAAUGUUUCUAACUCUUUAGGACAACUAAGAAUACGAUAAAGAAAAAGUCACCGACAUAUACUCGAAUAAAACUCGAUUAGAAACCUAGCUAUAACGUACUCAAGACAAGCGAAUACGGAGGUUGUCUGACAAACAAGACGAGAACUCGUCCGAGCUCACACAUUCACAACCAAAUAUGACCGAAGGAUCUAGUGUCUAUAUCAAUCUAAGCAACAAAUUAUACUACCUACAAGUUCAUCCAAGCCUGAAUGAACAACUCGAGCGAGAGGGACAACAUGAACAAGCUUAAGACGAGGUAAGCGAAACAAGAGAAGACUAUACUUCAAACAUACACCUACAUUUCAGUUUCAUAACUGGCAGCAGCAACAGAACUUUAAAACGCCAGCAGAAGCCAUUUCAAAACAAAAAAAAAUGAGAAAGUCGUGUCAAGCGGUAAGGGUUACCUGUUUUAGAGCAGCCAACUGGAACAACAAAUAACGCUGAGGUCUUCCUCCACAACACUCAAACUCAAAAGGCGAUAUAGAGCUCCUUGUAGGUAGAGAUAGGACAGGGACGAACGUCUCUAUGGUUUCAAGAAACUAUCUCAAAAUACUUAUAUACAGUGAUAUGGCUGGAAGCUUGUGGCCAUAUUCCUCUGUAACCUUUUCUCUUUACUCCCUUUUUAUCUAUAUUUUCUUUCUUUCCCUGUUUCUUUUCCUUUUUUUCUAUUUUUCCUCCUUUCUUCUUUCUCUCUCUUUUCUUCUUUCUCUCCACCAACCCCCUAACAAUAAAGAAGAUGGGGAUUGUUUAUAAGCCAAAUUUUGACAAAAAGAGUGGGAAAU
rnacentral:lncRNA from 1 species